GCUGUACGAUUAUAGCUACAAAGAGUUGAAGUUAUUGUUUAAAGUAAAAUACAGCUGAAGUUAAUAAAUUAAAGUUUUACAAAAUCUCUCUUCAGACUCGCGCCAGUCGCGCGUUCUCCAAACCUCGACGGCUCAUAUUUUUCGUUCUGCCUUUUAUCCUGUUUUGCCCCCCCUCCCAGUGAAAAUUCCUUAAUAAAGGCACUGCAUGAUAUUCUAGUAAGAAGUGUAUGCAGCA